rnacentral:lncRNA from 1 species
GAAGGUCUCCUCUCUACCAGUGUUAUUAGCUUUUUCAUGUAUGGUUAUAGCUUAUACGUGCGUGUUCCUCCUCGCUUAAAAACAAGUGUUUUAGCGUCUACAUUGCUAAUUGAUGGACGCACAUUUGGAGGUUUAGCGCAGCUCGCUGUAUGAUUAUAGUAGGGAAAGCUACAUCACACUUGAGUGUUUUGAGAAACUCUCGCACUCCUAUGUUUGUGCACCAAUCGACGAACGAUAGCUCUUCUUCUCCUCCUACUCUAGCAAUGGCGCCAGCGAGCCCUUUAGUGUUAGGGUUUCGGGGUUUGGGGUUGGGGAU